rnacentral:rRNA from 1 species
GACGAACGCUGGCGGCGUGCCUAAUACAUGCAAGUUGAGCGCUGAAGGUUGGUACUUGUACCAACUGGAUGAGCAGCGAACGGGUGAGUAACGCGUGGGGAAUCUGCCUUUGAGCGGGGGACAACAUUUGGAAACGAAUGCUAAUACCGCAUAAAAACUUUAAACACAAGUUUUAAGUUUGAAAGAUGCAAUUACAUCACUCAAAGAUGAUCCCGCGUUGUAUUAGCUAGUUGGUGAGGUAAAGGCUCACCAAGGCGAUGAUACAUAGCCGACCUGAGAGGGUGAUCGGCCACAUUGGGACUGAGACACGGCCCAAACUCCUACGGGAGGCAGCAGUAGGGAAUCUUCGGCAAUAGACGAAAGUCUGACCGAGCAACGCCGCGUGAGUGAAGAAGGUUUUCGGAUCGUAAAACUCUGUUGGUAGAGAAGAACGUUGGUGAGAGUGGAAAGCUCAUCAAGUGACGGUAACUACCCAGAAGGGGACGGCUAACUACGUG